rnacentral:rRNA from 1 species
UCCGUAGGUGAACCUGCGGAGGGAUCAUUACAGAGUUGCAAAACUCCCCAAACCAUUGUGAACGUUACCUUCAAACCGUUGCUUCGGCGGGCGGCCCGGGUCCGCCCGGUGCCCCCUGGCCCCCUAGCGGGGCGCCCGCCGGAGGAAAACCCAACUCUUGAUUAUUAUGGCCUCUCUGAGUCUUCUGUACUGAAUAAGUCAAAACUUUCAACAACGGAUCUCUUGGUUCUGGCAUCGAUGAAGAACGCAGCGAAAUGCGAUAAGUAAUGUGAAUUGCAGAAUUCAGUGAAUCAUCGAAUCUUUGAACGCACAUUGCGCCCGCCAGUAUUCUGGCGGGCAUGCCUGUUCGAGCGUCAUUUCAACCAUCAAGCCCCGCGCUUGUGUUGGGGACCUGCGGCUGCCGCAGGCCCUGAAAACCAGUGGCGGGCUCGCUGUCACACCGGGCGUAGUAGAUUUUAUCUCGCUCAGGGCGUGCUGCGGGUUCCGGCCGUUAAAAAGCCUUUUUUACCCAAGGUGACCUCGGAU